CUGAGCUGGCCGGCCUGAUCCUGAGCAACGAAUCUGAAUCUGUUCUGUUCCUGGUCCUGAUCCUCGAGCUGGGAUAUUGAUGACCAAUAAGUCAAUUCCAAGGGGAUCCGAGUAUGCCAUGGAUUACUGCUGAAGUCACACAGUGUGCAUGCUGAAACACUAAUCAGACGGAUGCUCUACAUGGACAUCAUAUACCCAUGUACGUUUGUAAGCUAUGUAAUCAUUCUUCUGGAUCAUUGAAGCGGUUUUCUGAACACUUUUCAGUCCAUAGAAAUGUGGUGAAUUUCGAUUUCCCGUGUGGUGUUCCUGGCUGCAAUCGAACAUUCAGAAAUUGUUCAUCCUUCAAAACCCAUGUGCAUAGGGAUCAUCAACCAUUUUCAAGAAAAAAAGAUGCCCAGUUUUUCUGCGUUUCUACCUGGAAUUGUCCACUCUGUGCUGUAAAAUGUGAGGAAAUCCAUGACAUACUUUCUCAUCUUAGAGUUCAUAUCAAACACGGAGUUGAAAUACGCUGUCCUUUUGCCAAUUGCAAAAAACGUUUUUCAGUGAGGUCGUCUUUUGCGUCACAUAUAUCAAGAGUUCACAAUAAGUUAGACCAGAUUCAGUUAGACUCAACUUCAAGUGAAACUGGUACUGUGUUAACUGAAUCCGCCCAAGAAAAUAAUCAGGAGUUUCCUGGAAGACUGCACUCAAGUGACGAGGAAAGUGUGACAGAUGAUGAAGUAGAUGUAUCCGCUGACUCAUUCAAACACAGCUUAUCCUUGUUUUAUCUGAAGUUGGAGGCAAAAUUACUACUGCCCAACUCUACAAUUCAGGAAAUAAUUGACACAGUUCAGGAUAUUCAUGCAUUAAGCCAACAAAAUUUGAUACCAAAA